rnacentral:rRNA from 1 species
UGCUGACGAGUGGCGGACGGGUGAGUAACGCGUGGGAAUCUACCGAGUAGUGGGGGACAACCAGUGGAAACGCUGGCUAAUACCGCAUACGUCCUAUGGGAGAAAGAGGGGGAUCUUCGGACCUCUUGCUAUUUGAUGAGCCCGCGUUGGAUUAACUAGAUGGUGGGGUAAAGGCCUACCAUGGUGACGAUCCAUAACUGGUCUGAGAGGACGAUCCGCCACAUUGGGACUGAGACACGGCCCAAACUCCUACGGGAGGCACCAGUGGGGAAUAUUGCACAAUGGGCGCAAGCCUGAUGCAGCCAUGCCGCGUGUGUGAAGAAGGCCCUAGGGUUGUAAAGCACUUUCAAUGGGGAAGAAAGGAGUAGCGUUAAUAGCGCUGUUCUGUGACAUUACCCAUAGAAGAAGCACCGGCUAACUCCGUGCCAGCAGCCGCGGUAAUACGGAGGGUGCGAGCGUUAAUCGGAAUUACUGGGCGUAAAGCGCGCGUAGGCGGUAAGUUAAGCGGGAUGUGAAAUCCCCGGGCUCAACCCGGGAACUGCGUUCCGAACUGGCUUGCUAGAGUACAGAAGAGGGUGGUGGAAUUUCCAGUGUAGCGGUGAAAUGCGUAGAGAUUGGAAGGAACAUCAGUGGCGAAGGCGGCCACCUGGUCUGAUACUGACGCUGAGGUGCGAAAGCGUGCGGAGCAAACAGGAUUAUAUACCCUGGUAGUCCACGCCGUAAACGAUGUCUACUAGCUGUUGGGUUCCUUGAGGAUUUAGUAGCGCAGUUAACGCACUAACUAGACCGCCUGGGGAGUACUGCCGCAAGGUUAAAACUCACAUGAAUUGACGGGGGCC